rnacentral:rRNA from 1 species
GCAGCAGUCAGUAGUAGACGAGCGUCGAUCGAUAGUAGUACUGUCGAGUGAAGCAGCAUGCAGUUAUUUAUUAAGUCAGUAUCAAAGGGCCGGUCCUCGACGUGACGAUCUGCAUUAAGCAGCAGCUGAGUAGACUACUGGAGGAGGGGAGUAUCAUUUCAGUAGUAGUGGUGUACGGCGUAGUGAUCCGAAGUACUACCGGUGACGACGGCCGCCCCCCUGUACUGAUACUGACACUCUGAUACGACAGGGGGGGGGAGCCAACAGGAUUAGAUAUCUUAGUACUCCACGCAAUAAACGACGUCUACGAGGAGGUCUGCGGCCCUCAGCCGUGGUUUUAGUAAGCCAAGUUAUUAAGUAGACCGCGAGGGGGAGUACCGUCGCAUGAAUAAUAAUCUAAUGAAUCGACGGGCGCCCGCACCAGCGGCGGAGCAUGUGGUUUAAGUUGAUGCAAGGCGAAGAACCUUACCUACUGACAACAUCCAGAGAACUUUCCAGAGAUGGAUUGGUGCCUUCAAGUACUAUGAGACAGGUGCAGCACGGCCGUCGUCAGGUCGUGUUGUGAAAUGUUGGAUUAAGUCCCGCAACGAGCGCCACCCUUAUCCUUGUUUGCCAGCGAGUAAUGUCGGGAACUCCAAGGAGACCGCCGGUGAUAAACCGGAGGAAGGUGGGGACGACGUCAAGUCAUCAUCGCCCUUACGAGUAGGGCUACACACGUGCUACAAUGGCGCAUACAGAGGGCAACCAACUUGAAAAAGUGAGCGAAUCCCAAAAAGUGCGUCGUAGUCCGGAUUGGAGUCUGCAACUCGACUCCAUGAAGUCGGAAUUGGUAGUCAUCGUGGAUCAGAACGCCACGGUGAAUACGUUCCCCGUCCUUGUACACACCGCCCGUCACACCAGGGUAUUUUUUU